AGAUGGUGACCUCGCUGGGAUUUCCCCUUGUCAAACCUGAGCUUAUCGCCCGCCUGGAGCAAGGGGAAGAGCCGUGGGUGCCCGAUCUCCAGGCCUGUGAGGAAAGAAGGCUUCUGAGAUGCCCUCAUACAGCAGGUGCUGAGCGAGGGAAUGAGAAUGAGGAGGAGGAGAAUCAUCAGGAAGUUCCUGGAGAAGUGCAACCCCAGGCGACCUUUGUGGGAGGAGCUGAAGAGAAAUGUUUCAGUCCAAAGUCAGCACAAAAGUCACUUAACAAAAGCCAUACAGGAGAGAGACCCCAUAAGUGCUUGGACUGUGGGAAAAGUUUCAUGCAAAGGUCACACCUUGUUAAACAUCAGGCAAUCCACACAGGAGAGAGACCCCACAAGUGCU